GGGCACCACCAGGGGGUGCAGCUGCGGCUUAUUUGACUCAACACGGGAAAUCUCACCAGGCCCGGACACCGGAAGGAUUGACAGAUUAACAGCUCUUUCUUGAUUCGGUGGGUGGUGGUGCAUGGCCGUUCUUAGUUGGUGGAGCGAUUUGUCUGGUUAAUUCCGGUAACGAACGAGACUCUAGCCUGCUAAAUAGGCGUCGUCAUUUAGGUGUGCUCGGCUUCGGUCGUGCAACUCACUGGCGACGUAUUAAAAUUCUUCUUAGAGGGACCGGUGGCUUCGAGCCACACGAGAUUGAGCAAUAACAGGUCUGUGAUGCCCUUAGAUGUCCUGGGCCGCACGCGCGCUACACUGAAGGAAUCA
rnacentral:rRNA from 1 species